rnacentral:rRNA from 1 species
GACGUAGGAGGCGAGCGUUGUCCGGAUUCAUUGGGCGUAAAGCGCGUGUAGGCGGCUCGGUAAGUCCGCUCUGAAAGUCCAGGGCUCAACCCUGGGAUGCGGGUGGAUACUGCCGGGCUCGAGUCCGGAAGAGGCGAGUGGAAUUCCCGGUGUAGCGGUGAAAUGCGCAGAUAUCGGGAGGAACAUCAGUGGCAGAAGGCGGCUACCUG